GCCCGUGUGGUGGAAUGGUAGACGCGGCGGACUCAAAAUCCGUUACCGAAAGGUGUGGGGGUUCAAGUCCCUCCACGGGCACCA
rnacentral:tRNA from 1 species